UGAGGAAUUUUCCGCAAUGGGCGAAAGCCUGACGGAGCGACGCCGUGUGCAUGAUGAAGUCCUUCGGGAUGUAAAAUGCUGUCAGUGGGGACGAUAUUGACUGUACCCACAGAGGAAGGCCCGGCUAACUACGUGCCAGCAGCCGCGGUAAUACGUAGGGGCCAAGCGUUGUCCGGAAUUAUUGGGUGUAAAGGGCGCGUAGGCGGCUUUAUAAGUCGGAUGUUAAAUCCACAGGCUCAACCUGUGUUCGCAUCCGAUACUGUUUUGCUAGAGAAUGGUAGAGGAAAGUGGAACUUUCGGUGUAGCGGUGAAAUGCGUAGAUAUCGAAAGGAACACCAGUGGCGAAGGCGACUUUCUGGGCCAUUUCUGACGCUGAGGCGCGAAAGCCAGGGGAGCAAACGGG
rnacentral:rRNA from 1 species